CGGACGGGUGAGUAACGCGUGGGUAACCUGCCUCAUACAGGGGGAUAGCAGCUGGAAACGGCUGGUAAUACCGCAUAAGCGCACAGUACCACAUGGUACAGUGUGAAAAACUCCGGUGGUAUGAGAUGGACCCGCGUCUGAUUAGCUAGUUGGUGGGGUAACGGCCUACCAAGGCGACGAUCAGUAGCCGGCCUGAGAGGGUGAACGGCCACAUUGGGACUGAGACACGGCCCAA
rnacentral:rRNA from 1 species